rnacentral:tRNA from 1 species
AGUCAAUAAAUGAUGAAUCAUAUUUAACUUCGAACUAAAUUUAUCUAUUAAAUAUA